rnacentral:rRNA from 1 species
AGUGAACGCUGGCGGUAGGCCUAACACAUGCAAGUCGAACGGCAGCACAGUAAGAGCUUGCUCUUACGGGUGGCGAGUGGCGGACGGGUGAGGAAUACAUCGGAAUCUACUUUUUCGUGGGGGAUAACGUAGGGAAACUUACGCUAAUACCGCAUACGACCUACGGGUGAAAGCAGGGGAUCUUCGGACCUUGCGCGAGUGAAUGAGCCGAUGUCGGAUUAGCUAGUUGGCGGGGAAAAGGCCCACCAAGGCGACGAUCCGUAGCUGGUCUGAGAGGAUAAUCAGCCACACGGGAACUGGGACACGGCCCAAACCCCUACGGGAGGCAGCAGUGGGAAAUUUUGGCCAAUGGGCGCAAGCCUGAUCCAGCCAUACCGCGGGGGUGAAGAAGGCCUUCGGGUUGUAAAGCCCUUUUGUUGGGAAAGAAAAGCAGCAGGUUAAUACCCCGCUGUUCUGACGGUACCCAAAGAAUAAGCACCGGCAAACUUCGU